rnacentral:rRNA from 1 species
AGUGAACGCUGGCGGUAGGCCUAACACAUGCAAGUCGAACGGCAGCACAGUAAGAGCUUGCUCUUACGGGUGGCGAGUGGCGGACGGGUGAGGAAUACAUCGGCAUCUACUUUUUCGUGGGGGAUAACGUAGGGACACUUACGCUAAUACCGCAUACGACCUACGGGUGAAAGCAGGAGAUCUUCGGACCUUGCGCGAUUGAAUGAGCCGGUGUCGGAUUAGCUAGUUGGCGGGGUAAAGGCCCACCAAGGCGACGAUCCGUAGCUGGUCUGAGAGGAUGAUCAGCCACACUGGAACUGAGACACGGUCCAGACUCCUACGGGAGGCAGCAGUGGGGAAUAUUGGACAAUGGGCGCAAGCCUGAUCCAGCCAUACCGCGUGGGUGAAGAAGGCCUUCGGGUUGUAAAGCUCUUUUGUUGGGAAAGAAAAGCAGCAGGUUAAUACCCCGCUGUUCUGACGGUACCCAAAGAAUAAGCACCGGCUAACUUCGUG